AGAGUUUGAUCCUGGCUCAGGACGAACGCUGGCGGCGUGCCUAACACAUGCAAGUCGAACGGGGUGAGGCCCUCCGGGACCUUUACCCAGUGGCGAACGGGUGAGUAACGCGUGAGGAACCUGCCUUUCAGUGGGGGACAACAGUUGGAAACGACUGCUAAUACCGCAUGAAGCUUUUGGGAGACAUCUCCUGGAAGCCAAAGCUUAAUGUGCUGAAAGAUGGCCUCGCGUCUGAUUAGCUAGUUGGUGAGGUAACGGCCCACCAAGGCGACGAUCAGUAGCCGGUCUGAGAGGAUGAACGGCCACAUUGGGACUGAGAUACGGCCCAGACUCCUACGGGAGGCAGCAGUGGGGAAUAUUGGGCAAUGGGCGAAAGCCUGACCCAGCAACGCCGCGUGAAGGAAGAAGGCUUUCGGGUUGUAAACUUCUUUUACCAGGGACGAAGGACGUGACGGUACCUGGAGAAAAAGCAACGGCUAACUACGUGCCAGCAGCCGCGGUAAUACGUAGGUUGCAAGCGUUGUCCGGAUUUACUGGGUGUAAAGGGCGUGUAGGCGGAGAAGCAAGUUGGGAGUGAAAUCUAUGGGCUUAACCCAUAAACUGCUCUCAAAACUGUUUCCCUUGAGUAUCGGAGAGGCAAGCGGAAUUCCUAGUGUAGCGGUGAAAUGCGUAGAUAUUAGGAGGAACACCAGUGGCGAAGGCGAUCUACUGGACAGUAACUGACGCUGAGGCGCGAAAGCGUGGGGAGCAAACAGGAUUAGAUACCCUGGUAGUCCACGCUGUAAACGAUGAAUACUAGGGUGGGGGGGGAACUGACCCCUUUCCUGCGGGAGUAAAC
rnacentral:rRNA from 1 species